GUCAAUAAAAUGGUAGAAUAUUAAACGAUAUAUUACUAGGAAAUGUUUCUAAAAUUUAAGCCUAUGUCCAGGAAGAACAAGAUUCAAGCUGUUCAUAAUGUUAAUUAUCUACAUUUACCAACAUUCCGACAACGUCCCUGUACUAACUUGUGAACCAGAGCAAUUCUUUUCGUAGAUUUUUUGCAGAAUCUUAAUUUUAGUUUGUCUGAUAUCGGGUUUGCGUUGACAAAUUUAUUUUUUUCAGGUGUACAAACAACACCGCAAUUGAAUCACACUCGUGUGCACAUAGUCAUACAUAUGAAUGAUUGUUUUCAUCUCAGUCGAUCAUCCAAUAUAUUUUUAAAAGCCCCAUAAGCUUAAGAAGAGUUAACUACGCCUACGGAUUCCUAGACGGUUUUGUUACAAGGAUGUUUUCCAAACUUUCGAAGCACCCUGAUAUGGUAACGUUUGACACUGUGGGAACAAAAGUUGCAUUUUCAGUAUUUAAACAAGUACAAAUUAUCUAGUUAGUGCCAUUAAUCACAACUUUUACACCGCUAUAAACCUUUAACUCUUUCCAUAAAG
rnacentral:lncRNA from 1 species